rnacentral:rRNA from 1 species
UUGCUUCUCUGGAUGAGUUGCGAACGGGUGAGUAACGCGUAGGUAACCUGCCUGGUAGCGGGGGAUAACUAUUGGAAACGAUAGCUAAUACCGCAUAAUAGUAGAUGUUGCAUGACAUUUGCUUAAAAGGUGCAAUUGCAUCACUACCAGAUGGACCUGCGUUGUAUUAGCUAGUUGGUGGGGUAACGGCUCACCAAGGCGACGAUACAUAGCCGACCUGAGAGGGUGAUCGGCCACACUGGGACUGAGACACGGCCCAGACUCCUACGGGAGGCAGCAGUAGGGAAUCUUCGGCAAUGGACGGAAGUCUGACCGAGCAACGCCGCGUGAGUGAAGAAGGUUUUCGGAUCGUAAAGCUCUGUUGUAAGAGAAGAACGAGUGUGAGAGUGGAAAGUUCACACUGUGACGGUAUCUUACCAGAAAGGGACGGCUAACUACGUGCCAGCAGCCGCGGUAAUACGUAGGUCCCGAGCGUUGUCCGGAUUUAUUGGGCGUAAAGCGAGCGCAGGCGGUUAGAUAAGUCUGAAGUUAAAGGCUGUGGCUUAACCAUAGUACGCUUUGGAAACUGUUUAACUUGAGUGCAAGAGGGGAGAGUGGAAUUCCAUGUGUAGCGGUGAAAUGCGUAGAUAUAUGGAGGAACACCGGUGGCGAAAGCGGCUCUCUGGCUUGUAACU